rnacentral:lncRNA from 1 species
CAGGUUAGAACACUCGAGGCUUUCCUGGAAUGACACCAGAGCCCAAGUCCUCUCCGGGGAUGGGCAGGCACCUGCCCAGGGUCCCUCUCCCACUGUUGCCUGGGCACAAUCUGCGUGGGAGCCGAGCUCCCGCCAUCCAUGGAGAUCACUGCAGCCUCCAGUGCACUGAGAUUUGAUUUUCCAGAGUCUGGAUUCCAGCUCUCAGGAAGGCUGAAUUGGUGCGGCUCCCCACACUACCAUUUUCCAGGACUGAAGGCCCCGCUCCUAAGGGCAAGUCGGCUAUAAGCGCCUGUGACCCAGUCAUGUUCCAAAGGUCCUCCUGAGGCCCGCCAUGCCUCUUGCAGGAGCUCCAGGAACCAGGCUGUGAAGGUCUUCUUGUGAGGCAGUGUGCUUGCGUUGCACAACAGAGGCCGCUCAGGAGGUACCAGGAGCCAAGGUGAGGUGCGUGACCUGAACAUGUUCCGAGGGCCCUGUCCCAGAGCAAGGACCUCGUAGUCCCCAGGCUCCACAUGCCGUACUGUCUGCCCUAGAGCCUGUCCUCUGUGGUUCAACUGCAGCCAGAGCAGCACCCUC